AGCCGAGGGGAGCUGGGUGGCCAUUCCGGUCCCUGGGGACUCCUACUCGGGCCUAGCAACGUGAGCCCCGCCCAGCGUUGCUCAGCAACGUCCCUUGAGCCCAGCAACCGCCGACCACGCCCCCUAGCAACAGCUAGCCUAAUCCUUGCUCCUGGCCGCCUCGGCCAAAAGAAAGGCGAGGGAAGGGGCUUGUGGACUAGGGCCAAAACGUGGGUGGAGGUCGUGUUGUCCGGUCCCCGGCCUCAAAGCAGCCUGCAGGAUUUCGCUGUCCACCUCUAGCCCUCUUCGCUGGGUGAGGUGCUAUAGGGCCGCGUCAUCACGCCCAUUUGCAGGGGGCGAAACUGACUCUCCGAAAGGAAGUUCCAGCCGACAGUCCAGAGCUCCGGAUUCAGCACUGGGGAAGGAAUCAAAGACUCUCCUCUGGAGACCAUCUUUUGAACCUUCCGCCACAGAGGUCUGGACUCUGCUGUGUCCGGAAGCCCUGCCUUGGGGAGCAGCACAGCCAGCACCAGGCUUGAGUGAGCGGCUUCCAGGCCUGGGGAAAGAGGAAGCAGAGAGACUCAAGGCCUGGGUACACUCAACACCAGCCACCACGAAGCCACAGCCUUCAGUGAAGAGGACGGGGACAGGCAGUACACCAGGACCCCAAGAAGGUCAGUGACUGCCCAGGAAGCCCCGACUGCCCCUGAGGCCUACAGCCUAUCCUGGCCAGGCUCCUACAGCUCCUCAGAAGCCCCUUCCUCCCUUCUUGAACC